AAUAGAUACCCGGGUAGUCCACGCCGUAAACGAUGGAUGCUAGCUAUUGGGGGGAAUCGACCCCCUCCGAAGCGAAGCUAACGCGUUAAGCAUCCCGCCUGAGUAGUACGAGCGCAAGCUUAAAACUCAAAGGAAUUGACGGGGACCCGCACAAGCGGUGGAGCGUGUGGUUUAAUUCGAUGGUAAACGAAGAACCUUACCAAGGUUUGACAUCCCGGUAGCCGUUCUCCGAAAGGAGAAUUUCAUUUAGUUGGACCGGUGACAGGUGAUGCAUGGCCGUCGUCAGCUCGCGUCGUGAGAUGUUGGGUUAAGUCCCGCAACGAGCGCAACCCUUAUGAUUUAGUUGGAUUUUUCUAAACAGACUGCCCUGGUAACAGGGAGGAAGGAGGGGAUGAUGUCAGGUCAGUAUUUCCCUUACACCUUGGGCGACACACGCGCUACAAUGGCCGGUACAAUGGGCAGCUAAGCCGCGAGGUGGAGCAAAUCCCAUCAAAGCCGGUCCCAGUUCGGAUUGCAGGCUGAAACCCGCUGCAUGAAGCCGGAAUCGCUAGUAACCG
rnacentral:rRNA from 1 species